AAUAUUCUUCCCCAUUCUAUGGCUUGUCUUUUCAUUUUCUUAGUUGUGUUUUUUAAAGGACAAACAUUUUUUUUUUUUUUUUUUGACAGGAAGCAGGAUUUAUUGGUGGGCAUGAAUGGGGAAGGGCAGUGCUGAGGUUCUCAUGAGUGCAGAGCCCUCCAUUUGUCCAAGGGUCUGCGAUCAGGGAUGAGCACACGGCUGAACUCCUGUCAG